GCGUUUAGCUCAGCUGGUUUAGAGCAUCUGCCUUACAAGCAGAGGGUCGGCGGUUCGAAUCCGUCAA
rnacentral:tRNA from 1 species